UACGAAGGGGGCUAGCGUUGUUCGGAAUUACUGGGCGUAAAGCGCACGUAGGCGGAUUUGUAAGUCAGGGGUGAAAUCCCGGGGCUCAACCUCGGAACUGCCUUUGAUACUGCAAGUCUUGAGUCCGGAAGAGGUGAGUGGAAUUCCUAGUGUAGAGGUGAAAUUCGUAGAUAUUCGCAAGAACACCAGUGGCGAAGGCGGCUCACUGGCCCGAUACUGACGCUGAGGCACGAAAGCGUGGGGAGCGAACAGG
rnacentral:rRNA from 1 species